AUUGAACGCUGGCGGCAGGCCUAACACAUGCAAGUCGAACGCGUCGCGGACGGGUGAGAAAUGUCUGGGAAACUGCCAUAUGGAUGGGUAAAACUACUGGAAACGGUAGAUAAUACCGCAUACCAUCGGAUGUGCCAAGAUGGUUUUAGCUAGUAGGUGGGGUAAAGGCUCACCUAGGCGACGAUCCCUAGCUGGUCUGAGAGGAUGACCAGCCACACUGGAACUGAGACACGGUCCAGACUCCUACGGGAGGCAGCAGUGGGGAAUAUUGCACAAUGGGCGCAAGCCUGAUGCAGCCAUGCCGCGUGUAUGAAGAAGGCCUUCGGGUUGUAAAGUACUUUCAGCGGGGAGGCGUUACCCACAGAAGAAGCACCGGCUAACUCCGUGCCAGCAGCCGCGGUAAUAC
rnacentral:rRNA from 1 species